GACGAACGCUGGCGGCGUGCUUAAUACAUGCAAGUCGAACGGACAGGCCCUGCUUGCAGGGUACUCGAGUGGCGAACGGGUGAGUAACACGUGGGUGAUCUGCCCUGCACUUCGGGUUAAGCCUGGGAAACUGGGUCUAAUACCGGACAGGAGCUAUUUUUAGUGUGAUGGUUGGAUAGUUUUUUCGGUGUUGGAUGAGCUCGCGGCCUAUCAGCUCGUUGGUGGGGUAAUGGCCUACCAAGGCGGCGACGGGUAGCCGGCCUGAGAGGGUGGACGGCCACAUUGGGACUGAGAGACGGCCCAGACUCCUACGGGAGGCAGCAGUGGGGAAUAUUGCACAAUGGGGGCAAGCCUGAUGCAGCGACGCCGCGUGGGGGAUGACGGCCUUCGAGUUGUAAACUCCUUUCGCUAGGGACGAAGCUUUUGUGACGGUACCUAGAUAAAAAGCACCGGCUAACUACGUG
rnacentral:rRNA from 1 species